AUGUGCUUUUGGAAUCUUCCUAUGACUAUUUUUGCUUAUUUUGACGAUCCCCGAUACAGAAAAGAUAAAAAGGGUUCAGGAAUUGUUAAAUUUAGAUAUAGGACCCUAGAAGAAGAAUAUAGGACUCGAGCGGAAGACUCAGAAGAGGAAUAUGAGACCCUAGAAGACGAAUACAGGACCCGACGGUUCCCUUUCCCCCGGAUCAAUGAAGAAGGGAGAAGUCAGUUGAUUCCUCCGAAGAACCGGAAGCGAAGCGCUAUGCCGGGGCGAGGGGACGGGAAAAGAAACUGCUCCGAAGAAAGAUAUUGGGGUUCCCAAUGCUUCUCCACGCCCAACGAGAUGCGCCAACCUCGGGAUGCUUUACUCCUAACCCCACGGCGGUUCCAGGUUCUUUUUAAAGCACUUCUUUUUGCAUAA
rnacentral:rRNA from 1 species